UAGAUAAGGAAUAGGAGAUUUCACAUUAGGAUUAAACCCCAUAGGUUUUUGAAAUCAAAUAUUUUUAUUCAAUAAAACUGCAGAUAGGCAUUAAAUAAAAAAAGGAUUUGUUAACCAAUCAAACUUGUUAAUGGUAGGUUGGAAAAAGAAAACAUUUAGCUCUGUGGUUGUCAAUUCUUGAGCAUUGACACCUUAGUGUUUGCAGAUAAUUUCAAAUUGCUGCUCUAGAUUUUGUUUGGCAUGGAAAGCUGCAUAUUAAUUUUUGCACAGGACUGGAAAACCAAGAUUCCAGUGUACAAAAUAAAAUUAGUCAUUUGCAUAUUUUGAUUACCACUUAGAGGAAGUUCUGGCAGGCUAUCAUCAGAACCGGAAAACAACACACAGGUCACCUGCUGAUUUGACAACACGCCAACAUCAGACUCACACCCAUCUACGAACCAGUGAAUUGCAAGUUUAGGGAGAGACAGCUCAUGUAGGUUAUGACGACAGGACGUAGGCACUCCUUGAUGUCGUUCAUCUCUUCCUGGUAGUCUUGGAUCAUCUUCUCCACCUUCUUGCGGUCCGUCUUUGAAUGGACUGUGUCUGUGAUGUUGGCUGAAGCCGAUGCUACCCCACCUGCCGUAGCUACACCAAUGCCUACAGCUGUGACGAUGAGCGACGUUCCUGCUGUGAAGGGUGCCAGAAUGAGGCCGGUGAUAGUAGUUAUAGA